rnacentral:lncRNA from 1 species
ACCAGCUGACAAUUCAAAAAACAAAGACAAAGCUAAAAGAAAAAGAAAGGAGGAGAUUACCAGAAUCCGUAGAGAAAAAAUCAUGGCCCAGAUCACUGAAAUACAGCCACACUUAAUAGAUGAGAACAAAGAGCUCUUUCAGCAGACAUUAGAACUGGAUUCCUCUACCUCUACUGUUCUUAAUAAUACGUAAAGAAAGUAAUAACAAUUCCUGAGAAU